GAUCAUGGCUCAGGAUGAACGCUAGCGACAGGCUUAACACAUGCAAGUCGAGGGGCAGCAUAAAAGUAGCAAUACUUGGUGGCGACCGGCGCACGGGUGAGUAACGCGUAUGCAACCUACCUAUCAGAGGGGAAUAACCCGGCGAAAGUCGGACUAAUACCGCAUAAAACAGGGGCACCGCAUGGUGAUAUUUGUUAAAGAAAUUCGCUGAUAGAUGGGCAUGCGUUCCAUUAGGUAGUUGGUGAGGUAACGGCUCACCAAGCCGACGAUGGAUAGGGGAACUGAGAGGUUGGUCCCCCACACUGGUACUGAGACACGGACCAGACUCCUACGGGAGGCAGCAGUGAGGAAUAUUGGUCAAUGGGCGGGAGCCUGAACCAGCCAAGUCGCGUGAAGGAAGAAGGAUCUAUGGUUCGUAAACUUCUUUUGCAGGGGAAUAAAGUGCAGGACGUGUCCUGUUUUGUAUGUACCCUGAGAAUAAGGAUCGGCUAACUCCGUGCCAGCCGCCGC
rnacentral:rRNA from 1 species